UUCGAGAAACGUGUAUUCUAAGAAAUCCUUUGGAUGCUUUGCUAAAAACCAAUACAAAAUGGAAUUGGACAUUACAAUGUCAGAAACACUUCAAUAAAUUUAAAGAACUUUUGUAAUCGGAUCUGUUAUUAACGCACUAUAACCCUAGUUUGCCAAUUAAAGUAGCUGCCGACGCCUCUACUGUUGGCCUAGGUGCAUAUAUUUGCCAUAUAUACCCUGAUGGGAGUGAAAAGGCUAUAGCACAUGCUUCGAGAGCUCUUAGGCUGAGAAGAAUUAUUCUCAAAUUAAGAAGGCUUGGCUCUAGUGUUCGCAGUAGUAAAAUUUCAUAAAUACUUGUACGGUAGAGAAUUCUAUCUACAUACCGACCAUAAAGCAUUGCUUGCCAUCUUUGGUAAUAAGAAGGGGAUUCCUGCACACUCUGCAAACUGCCUUCAGCGAUGGGCUUUAACGUUAAUGUCGUACGAUUUUAUAUUGGAAUAUGUACCAACGAAAGAAUUUGGAGCUGCGGAUGUACUGUCAUGACUUAUUAGGAAUACAUCUAAGCCUAACGAAGACGCAGUCAUCGCUUGCUGCCAACUUGAACAGGAAGUGAAGCAAAUUGCUUCCAACGCCGUACAAAGUUUUCCGCUAACGCUUCCGAUGAUUCAAAAGGCCACGCAGAAAGAAGCGCUAUUACAGCAGGUUGUUAAGCUCCUCAAAAAUGGUAAGUGGCCAAAUACGAUGGAUGAAGACCUACGUAGUUUCUACAUACAUCGCGACGAGCUAAGCACGAUUGAAGGCUGUAAUAUGUGGAAAGAUCGGUUGGUUAUACCCAAGUGUUAUCGCCGAAGAAUUCUGAAAAGCUUAUACAGGGGCCAUCAAUUGAAUUGAGCGAACAAAAGCCCUGGCACGCAGCUACGUAUAUUGGCCGGGAAUUGACGAAGACAUCAAGCAAUAUAUUGUAGGAUGUGAUCGCUGUGGCCAAGACAUUACCAAAGACAAACCUUCUGGCCAGAAGCAGAUCACCCGAUGCAAAGAAUACAUAUUGACAUCGCGGAUCCAGUGAAUCAACUUUACUAUUUUGUAAUCAUCGAUGCGUACUCGAAAUGGCCACAGAUUUAAGUUAAGUCGAUAACGUCCACUAGUAUUUUAGACUGCAUGUCGGACUUCACGUCACAGUUUGGAGACCCUGAAUUAGUAGUCAGGGACAAUGGCACACAAUUUGCAAGUAAGACUUUUUCGAAUUUUUGCGUAAGCCGAGGUAUUUCUCACAAGUUCACAGCACCGUAUCAUCCGCAGUCCAACGGGCAAUCGGAACGCUCGUGGAUACCCUGAAAAGGGCACUGAAGAAAUUGGAUGGUGAAGGAACGCAGAAGCAAAUUUUACAAACAUUUCUGAGAACCAAAGGGCCAAAGAACGAGUUUACAAAAUUGACGAUUGUGUAUAUGCAAAACUUUAUAAGCUGACCAAAUCUUAUUGGGCGCCCGGAGCAAUCGCAAAAGUUCUCGGUAAGGUCAAUUACCAAGUUGAAAUCGAAAACUCAACAACCUUUAGAGCUGUAAAAUCGCACUCCAAUCAAUACACACUCAAUGCCAGCCGUUAGACAUUUUAUUUGAUUACUUUGACCUGUCAUAUAAACCAGCAUCAACAAUUAGCAGUUCAGACACUCGCACUGAAGAGCAACAUCAAAACGUCGCACAGGAAUAGACUCCGAGGAAUUUGUUUGAACAUCAAUCCUGUACGAACGCUGAAAGUCCUCCAAACCCACCAGUUCAAACACCCAGCAUCGAGCCGACAACCGACUCUCAUAAUCCAAUCCCAGAACCGUCGGUAGUUCCUCAAGAGCUGAGACGUUCAUCGAGACGCAAGAGAACUCCGGCCUGGGCUCCCGAUUACCAUCUUUUUAAAAGGAAGAAGGAUGUUGGCAACCCCAAAAAUGUAGACUUCUAUGCUCAUAUGUUUGUAGAAUAAGUAUCCGCUAUUUGUAUCCCGUUUCGUAGCUUACGGCGUAUUACUUCUUUUCUAUUCCGUAUGUCUACUAAUAAGCACGUUGCAGCGUAAUACGCGCUCUCUUGCACUUCUCUAGAUUUUGGGUGACUUGCAGCCUUAUGUACGCAAAAGUUCCAGUCCUGGGAGCAAAGCGAAUGGAUCAACAUCGCUUUGGGAAGGAGCACCGUACCAUUGUUGACGUUACCGACACAAUGUCGUGCGCGUGGAGUCGGUGAUGUACUAGGUAACGAUUAACUGGGGAUGAAGUAUCGAGAUGGUGAUCGCCAAUCGUGGUUAUUGGACGAUGCCGGGUAUGCUCUGGAACCUUUUCUGUUGACACCGUAUAUAAAUCCGUAGCCACGGUCUAUACAACACGCAUUUAAUCGAACACAUUCUUCCGCACGUAAUAUUAGAGUUCUCAAAAGUCGUUUUCAGUGUUUAUUAGUAACCUUGCUGUACAAACUAUGAGAGGUUGUGAAAAUAAUUAAUAAAUGACUGACUGAAUUUGACUAUGAA